UACGGAGGGUGCGAGCGUUGUUCGGAAUCACUGGGCGUAAAGGGCGUGUAGGCGGUCCGCUAAGUCUGAUGUGAAAGCCCGGGGCUCACCCCCGGAAGUGCAUUGGAAACUGGCGGACUCGAGUCCCGGAGAGGAGGGUGGAAUUCCUGGUGUAGCGGUGAAAUGCGUAGAUAUCAGGAGGAACACCGGUGGCGAAGGCGGCCCUCUGGACGGUGACUGACGGUGAGACGCGAAAGCGUGGGGAGCAAACAGG
rnacentral:rRNA from 1 species